rnacentral:tRNA from 2 species
GGGGCUAUAGCUCAGUUGGCUAGAGCGAUACGUUCGCAACGUAUAGGCCAGGGGUUCGAAUCCCCUUAGCUCCACCA